rnacentral:lncRNA from 1 species
GCUCUACUUCUCAUUCAGUCUCCCUCCAUCUUCUUCCUGCAACCUAAUGUCAUUCUGGGAUUUACCUGUUGCCCUUCCAGGUGAAGAAGAUGGAAAAGGGGAUAAAAAAACUGCUUCAUUUGACUUCAAGAAAAAAAUCCUCCAAUACUAGGACAAAUAAGGUGAAGAGAGUGAAGAAGUCCAAGAAGUUUCAACCAUUAUCCGGGACUGAUUAGAAGCCAAAGCCAAAUCACUCAGGCCAACCUCCAGGGACUCCACAAGAUAACACUCCUUCAAGACACAAAUCCAUCUGAAGCAAAGCUCCUUACUUCAGAAGAUUGGCAUUUCUGGACAAGAUACCACCUUGACUGUUCUAGAUUCUUCGAAAUCCUACCAGUCCUGCCAGGGGGAUGUGUUCUGAAGCUCGGAAUAUUUGAAGUGCAGAGAGAAAAAGAUUCUGUCAACUGACACCAUCUAUGACCUAAGAUAACAUCUGCACACAGAGAUCUCCCUGGACAUGUCAUUGUCUCCACUGAAUAAAUCUGGCUACCUUGAUUGUGCCAUACGUUGUCUCUUUUUAUAUAACUGACUGGCCUCAUUCUCCUGGUUCAUCCCAUAGGUUCGCCAUUAACCUUACUCAGAAGCACGAAAAUCAUGAAAUGGCCUUGUGUGCACCUCCAGAAGUCAUAGUCUUUGGCCUUCCUUCCCUUGUGUUCCCUACCCUUCUCCUUUCUCUCCCUGCCAUUUUAUGUCAUA